UACGAAGGGUGCAAGCGUUACUCGGAAUUACUGGGCGUAAAGCGCGCGUAGGUGGUUUGAUAAGUUGGAUGUGAAAGCCCCGGGCUCAACCUGGGAAUUGCAUCCAAAACUGUCUGACUAGAGUAUGGCAGAGGGUGGUGGAAUUUCCUGUGUAGCGGUGAAAUGCGUAGAUAUAGGAAGGAACACCAGUGGCGAAGGCGACCACCUGGGCUAAUACUGACACUGAGGUG
rnacentral:rRNA from 1 species